CACGCUAUUACCACUUUAUAUUUGUGGUAUGAUAAUGAACUUGGGUAUUAUGGAAUAAAUCAUCACUUCAAAAGCAUAUAAGCUUUGAUUAAAUCUGGCCAAGCCAAGGGGGUCAUGCAGGUGGAGGCACCCAGUACAAAGGCAUCCCUAAAUUUCCAAUGAUGUGGGACUUGAUUAGCUAGCAUUGAAGAAGACUUAUUCAAAAUUAUCAGUUUAUGACUAGAACUAAAAUAAGCAGACAAAAAAGGGUUGUUCCUUCACCCCUAAUUAUUCUAAGCACAUCAAGUAUGGCCUAGUACACCAUUGCAACAAGGUUUCCAGGUUUUGGAAACGUUUCCGAAAUGAAAUUCUUCCUUCCUUUCUUGCUUCUGUCAUUUGCCCCCAAUCUGCCUGGCCUAUUUAUGCCAGAGUGUCCUAAUCCUAUCUGAUCAUUCUCAAAUCUCAAUCCUUUCCAUUUUUGAGAUUUGUUCAGGUUGAGUUCUUAUUUGCAAACCAGCAAGUGCUUGGCUACUUUUCU
rnacentral:misc_RNA from 1 species